UCCAUCUCAACUGAGCCGGCGCGGCCCCAUUUGGUGGUAACGCGAAAGCGUGUACGCGCCGUCACUCUUACCCUUUUUUACGAGUACCUUCGUUCUCCUUCGGUGGGGCAACCUGCCGCUGGAAUCAACAAAACCUUUUUUGCAUCUAGCAUUACCUGUUCUGAUACAAAUAAUCGUUA
rnacentral:misc_RNA from 1 species